rnacentral:lncRNA from 1 species
UGAAUUUAAACCUGCUUCAAUUGAUAAAAACCAACCUGGAAAACUACACAAGACCAAGGACAAUAAGAUUUCUGUUGAAUUUCAAAAUAACCAGCCUGGUAAACCCAAAGUCGCCUUUGAUGGGAGUUGUGAGGAUUACAAGGAAAAUGAUGUUGUUCUUUUCUUUGAUGGUGAGUCAUUUCGGUUGGAGCGGUUACACAUGGAAGUUGGUAAACCCAAAGUCGCCUUUGAUGGGAGCAGUGAGGAUUACAAGGAAAAUGAUGCUGUUCUUUUCUUUGAUGGUGAGUCAUUUCGGUUGGAGCGGUUACACACAGCAGUUAAGCGGUUAAGGUAUAACCGACUCC